rnacentral:rRNA from 1 species
CGAACGGGUGAGUAACGCGUGAGGAACCUGCCUCAAAGAGGGGGACAACAGUUGGAAACGACUGCUAAUACCGCAUAAGCCCACAGGUCGGCAUCGACCAGAGGGAAAAGGAGCAAUCCGCUUUGAGAUGGCCUCGCGUCCGAUUAACUAGUUGGUGAGGUAAUGGCCCACCAAGGCAACGAUCGGUAGCCGGACUGAGAGGUUGAACGGCCACAUUGGGACUGAGACACGGCCCAG